UCUCCCUUCUUACGUUUUAAGCUUCCCGAAAUUCACUUUCAUUCGCUAUUCUUACCACCCAAACCCUCACCCUCUCUCUCUCUCUCUCUCUCUCUCUCUCUCUCUGCCGUCCGAUUCCCCGCCCGACGUUAUCAGACCGUCGGACUUCUGAUUCUCGUUCCCAAUCUCCGCCGCUGAUCUUCCUGAACCCGAAUUCCCGAUCCCCGCUUCUCGAUUCCCGACAUCUCUGAAAGAAAAGGCACCAUGGCGGAAGGCAAGCUCGAUCUGCCAGACGAUCUGCUUUCCUCGAAAUCACCUGGCGAUCCGUGGGCCCCAAAGGAAUCCUCAGAUGAUGCUGCUCGAGUAAACGAUGAUGAAAAGGCGCUUAUGGGUUUCUUUGAUGACUCCAAAGAUCAAGUAACAUCAGAGAGCAAUAUACCACUGUCUCCUCAAUGGCUGUAUGCUAAGCCUAGUGAUAUUAAGACCGGUCUUUCUGCUUCAUCAGGGGAUAUGCGUGCACCAAAUUCCUUGCCUCAUGGAAUCGCUGUGGAUACUGUUCAGAAAGAGGGGUGGCGCUUGGAUGGAUCUCAGGAAAAGAAAGAAUGGCGAAGGAAUGCACCUGAGGCUGAAACUAAUCGCCGUUGGCGUGAGGAGGAGAGAGAAACUGGCUUACUUGGUAGGAGAGACCGCAGAAAAGAGAGUGAUCGCCGUGCUGACAGUGCUUCAAUUAGAGAAAUCACUGAAAGUAGGCCCUUGCCUUCAUCUGAUAGGUGGCAUGACGUCAGUAGUCGUAAUUCUGGGCAUGAAACCCGGCGAGACAGCAAAUGGUCAUCAAGGUGGGGUCCAGAGGACAAAGAGAAGGAUUCUCGAGCUGAUAAAAAGGUGGACGGAGAGAAGGAAGAUGCUCAUAACGAAAAGCAAUCCUUUAUAAGCAGCACUCGUGCAGCUUCUGAACGUGAAAAUGAUUCUCGUGACAAAUGGAGGCCACGCCAUCGUCAAGAAGUUCAUUCAGGUGGGUCGGCGGUUUACCGUGCUGCGCCAGGAUUUGGGCUUGAGAGAGGAAGGGUGGAGGGUUCGAAUCUAGGGUUUGCUCCAGGACGAGGGAGGCCAAACACUGUUGGGAGCCCGUCACUCAGCAGGCCUUCCUCGUCAGGACCUAUAGGUGCUGCACCAGCAGAUAAGAAUGACCCUGGACAUGGGAAGGCUGGUUUGUCUGCAGAUACAUUUUGCUACCCGAGGGGAAAGCUUCUUGACAUUUAUAGGAGACACAAGCUUCUUCCCGCUUUUGAUAUCACCCCUGAUGGGAUUGAGGAAGCUCCUCCAAUAACUCAAAUAGGCUUGAUAGAGCCAUUGGCCUUUGUUGCUCCUGAUGCAGAGGAGGAGGCUGUCCUAGAAGAUAUGUGGAAGGGGAAAGUCACCAGCAGUGGAGUGUCUCACAAUCUGACAAUAGACAGUGUGGGGAAGGUCCAUGAUGAUGAGACAGGUGUUGCAGACGGGAUUUCGACUGAGAGCAAACAAUGCAUAUUCCCAGCUAGUAGCACUGAAGAGGCUGCAAAUGAUUCCAAUCUGGCAGAAUGUGACAAUAAACUUACUGCUACAGUUGAUGUAAUGACUUCCGGAGGCUUUACUUCAGAAGUUCGAAAGGGUGAUGACAUCUGCAAUAUCAGAGAGCUGGACAGUAGCCUGAUGAUCAUUUCUGAAAACAAAGCUGGUCAAACUAGCAUUGUGAACGGUGAUGGGCAAGCUGAAAGUUCUACUUCUUUCAAGCCCCUCAAGUUCAAAGAUGUUGAGUCAGCCACUUCUUUUGAUAUUCGUACCAAGCUACCUGAUGAUUCAAAUUUACUAUUUGAUCCUCUAUCUUCCCCAGAGAUUUCUGGUAAUGAGCAGUAUGUGAAGAGUAAUGGUGAAGCAAAGGUGUUGGAACAGGUUGCCCCGCCUGAGGAGAUGAGUUUGUUUUACCGGGACCCACAAGGAGAGAUACAAGGACCUUUUUUAGGUGUCGACAUUAUUUCAUGGUUUGAACAAGGUUUUUAUGGUACCGACUUGCCCGUGUGUCUAUCAGAUGCUCCUGAGGGAACCCCUUUUCAGGAACUCGGGGAAGUCAUGCCACAUUUGAAACUUAAAGUUCAUUCAGUCUCUGGUUUUAACACUGUUAAUAAACCAUACCCAUCUGAUUCCGUUGAAGGCACCUCGGACACUAGUGCACUUGCACCUGAUUUUACCACAUCUACUGCUGUAACUGACCAACAAUGGGCAUCUUCUGAAUUUGAGGCUCCAUCACGCCAGCCUGUUCAGCCAAGAAUAUCCAAACGGGAGGAUCCAUUGGAACCACAUUAUGCUAUUUUGCCACCCAUAGAUUCUGAAACUUCAAGAGGCAUUGUCAAUGCUGAGAGGCGGAACUUUCAUGAGUUUGUUGAACAUGAUACUGAAGAAGUGCUGUUUUCUGGGCGCCAUGGGAGUAACAGUGGAAAUCCUGUAGCAAAACUGGCUGGUAACCUUCACGAUCCAUUAGGGAACCCUACCAGCCACCAUCUUCAAGCAAAUGAAUUGGGAGAAAAUAGCAUGCUUAAUCAUAAUGUCUUAAAGGAUAAUAAUAAUAAUUUCCAUCCCUUUGGCCUGUUGUGGUCAGAGCUGGAAGGGCCUCAUCCGAAGCUGUCACAUUCGUCAAAUAUGUCAUCUGGUGUUGGCGAACAAGGGCCCCUCAUUAAUACAGCCAUGGAAAGAGAUGCUGCUCUUUUCAAUCGUAAGCAGAAUUCUGUAAGUGCAUUAGCUGACUCCCCUAUUGUCAGGGAGACAUGGCCCGAUAGUUUUAGAAGAAAUGCACUUGCUGGCUCAAAUAUUCUUCAGGAUGUGGUGGAUGCCCGCCACUUGUCACACAUGGAGCAAGAAUCCAACCGGUUCGAUUUAGCGGAGCACAUGCUGUCUCAACAGUUGCUGCAAAAACAACGCCUUCAACAGCAAGAUCUACUCUCUACUCAUCCGUCAAUGCACUUGAAUGGGUCCGUUCUAGAGCAGUUGGCAGGCUCUGCCUUACCACAGAGCUUGAAUCCUGCUCACCAGCAGUCGAUGAGUCAACCCAUGGUAGAUUUCGAACAUCUUUUGAAGCUUCAAUUUCAACAGCAGCGGCAACUUCAGCUCCAACAACAACAUGAUUUGCAGCAGCAACAACGGCAACAGCUUCAUCAUCAUCACCAAAUGCAAUUACAGCAGCAGCAGCAGCAGCAGCAGUCUCAUGUUCAACAGCUUCUUCUUGAACAGUUUUUGCAUCAACAGAUGCAUGAUCCUGGCUUUGCCCAUUCACGUGUUGAUCCCCUCAGGAGCAACAACAUGCUUGAUCAAGGCCUAUUUAGGCAGCACCUUCUACAUGAACUGCAACAACAUUCUCAUCCUCCUCUACGACCCCAUGAUCCCUCCAUAGAGCAGUUCAUUCAAUCGAAAUUCGGCCACAGCUUACAUCCUGAGCAGCACAACGAACUUUUGGAGCUACUAUCACAUGCAAAGCAUGGACAGAUGCAUCCUCUGGAUCAGCAGCUUCUUUUGGGUAUUCAGCAAGAGCAACUGCGUGCGCAGCAGUUCUCCACAUCAUCGAGGUUGCAACCAUCCUUGGAAGAAGAGAGGCAUGUUGGUGGAGUCUGGUCUGUUGAUGAAUCUGGUCAGUUCGUCAGGACAGCUGCUAAUUCUCACCAAACUCAGUCUGCAGGAUUUAGCCCCUUAGACUUUUACCAGCAGAAGCAGAGGCCGUCUUCAUAUGAACAACCAAGCAGUCUCGAGCGGAACCUUGCCUUACAUGAACGCUUGCAUCGAGGCAUUUACGAACCAAGCUCACUGCCCUUUGAGAGGCCAAUCCCUUUGCAUGGUGCUGCUCCUGGGAGGAACUUGGACGUUUUUAACACUCUUGCACGGGUUCAAGAGCUGGAUAUACAGGAACACCAUUCUCAAAUGCACUCGCCUGGUCAGAUGAGUUCUUUCUCGUCUGACAUCCGCUCACUUCACCCUCAAAUCCCUAACCAGUUUCAUGCAUCUCAUCUAGAUUCAAUGGAUGGUGGCUUGACUGAGCGCAAUGGGCAGCCACCAAAUGAAUGGAUUGAAUCACGGAUGCGUCAGUUGCAUCUUGAAGCUGAGCGAAGAAAGAGGGAGUCAGAAAUGAAUCUCAUCUCAGAAGAUGUAAGUUCAUGGGCAUCAGCAAUGGGAAAUGGUGAAAACUCAAAGCGAGUGAUGAUGGACUUGCUUCAUCAAAAACUUGUCCAUCCUUCUAACCAGUCAUUAGAAUUGAACGAAAGUAAUACUACUUCAUCCUAUGAAAGGAGGGAACCUUCUCGGCUUGUUUCUGCAUCUGCUUCAGAUCAUCCUUACAAUCUUCUCAUGGGUCAGACAUACUUGACCGAUUCAUUUGCGGAAGGGCCUCAAGGUCAUAAUUUAGUGAAUGCGGGGCCAGAACAAUUGGUUAAUGCAGUCAUGGAGGAGCAAGCUCACACCGUGGAGAGUAGUGAAAGGUUACCUUACAGAUCAAAUUCUGGAGCAUUCAUUGAAGAUGAGCAGUUCUUCCCAGGUAUCAAUGAGACAGCCCGGACCAUCUAUGCAGAUCCUAGCAUGGUCAGUAAGCCAUCAGUUGAAAGAGUGGACUUAUCAGAGGCAAAAGAGGGAAAGAAGGGGAAGAAGAGGGGCUCUAAAAGCAAGGUAGUGAAUAAGCCAGUUACAGAAGCUCAAGAAAGUAUUGUUGAGCUGGCAGGAGGUGCUGUUACAGACCGAGGGAAGCUUCUCGUUAAUGCCCCUAUUAGGAAUGCUUCACUUGUUAGUCCUGGAGGAAGUGUUGGCUUCUACAACUAUGACACGGGAGUGGAUAGUGCCUAUGGUGAAGAAUCGGCGAAGGAUAGGGUAUCCUCUAUCCUUUCCAAAGGUCUUGACAGCACUUUGCUGAAAUCCCCACAUGUCUCGCGGGUUUUAUCAUCCCAGGAGGCUUUAUCUGAGUUGGCCUCCACUCCAUCUGUCAAAGGGAAGAAUCAGAUCAACCUUGCAUCUUCCGAUGAAAAAAGGACAAAAACUUCCAGCAGCAAGUGACCCUCUCGUCAGUCUGCAGCAUGGCAGACUGAUACAAAAGUGCUGGAUGUUCUCAAGGGGAACCCCACGAAACCCACACCCACCAAAAUAAGGCCUCAAAGACAAUGUGCUGCUAGAAAUGACCUGUCUCCCAAAAGUACUAAUACAGAAUUCUUUUGUUGGCAGUCCUGGUGGUCAAAUCAUGACUAAAAUUCUUUUCUUUAGGGAUUCAAUCUAUGCCACUGUCCUCUAAAACUGUUCCAUUUAUUCCCCUUCCACAAACCCCACAUGAUCCUCAAGAUCUUCCUUUGGUCUUUAAAUGGCCCACAGACUUGUUGAGAUUCCAAGUGAUACUGAUUCGAGCCAAAAAGUUCCAAAUUGCUUUCACCAUUGUACAAUCGAUGACAAAAGGGAAGACGGGAUCACAGUGUAAAUCCAGCGACUCAGGCAUCUGAAACCACAGCCUCCAUCAAGAAAGAAAUGCGUUUCCGCCGGACCUCGUCUUGCAGUGAUACGGAUACAUCUGAGC